UGUAACAUGUUUACAGUUCAGCUGGGAACCAGUUACUAGAAAUAAUCUGUCAACAGAAACUGAGGAACGAAAUGACCUGGUUAACGGACGCUUCCCCUCCAACACACUGACUUUCUGUCUCCAACUUGAGAGGAAUGUUCUGACAUACUUGCCCCAAGAAAAUUUUGAAUCUUUUAAGUGGCGAUAGAGGAAGAACCGUACAGACAGCAUGGCAUCUGCUUUGAUCAGCUGACUUCAUAAAACAAUGAGCCAGUUAGAAAUCACUGAUUAAAGACAUUUCCUCACCUACAUGCUGAAACUAAUCCUGAAACAACAAGGGAAAGUGUCUCUGGUGAUACAAGAGCAAUUCAUUUAAAGAGUUUAUUGCUUAACAGGAGGAUUUAGUUUACAGAACACAUGCAUGAUGAAAGCGGCGUCCCGCUGGCAGGAGGAAGUUGGCCCACCUUGGAUAACAGCAGCAG